GAAGCUGGAAUCGCUAGUAAUCGCGGAUCAGAAUGCCGCGGUGAAUACGUUCCCGGGUCUUGUACACACCGCCCGUCACACCAUGGGAGUCGGAAAUGCCCGAAGUCUGUGACCCAACCUACGGGAGGGAGCAGCCGAAGGCAGGUCGGAUGACUGGGGUGAAGUCGUAACAAGGUAAC
rnacentral:rRNA from 1 species